GCGAAACGGCUAGCCCAACUAACAUAAACAAGUAACCACUAUAAAUCAAAAAAUAAAACUAAACUAAAACAUUCUCCCACCUAAGUAUAGGCGAUAGAAAAGGAACUAAGAGCGAUAAAGAAGUACCGCAAGGGAAAGUUGAAAAAGAAAUUAAAUAAACACCAAAAGCAACAUAAAGCAGAGAUUAAAUCUCGUACCUUUUGCAUCAUGAUUUAGCAAGUACAAUCAAGCAAAGAGAACUGUAGUUUGAAACCCCGAAACUAGACGAGCUACUCCGGGGCAGCCAAUAAUUGGGCGAACCCGUCUCUGUUGCAAAAGAGUGGGAAGACCCCCGAGUAGAGGUGAUAGACCUAUCGAGCCUAGUGAUAGCUGGUUGCUUAAAAAAUGGAUAUCAGUUCAGCCUUAAUUAAUCCUAUAAUUACAUCAUAUACACAUAAAAUAAUAGAGAAACUUAAGAGUUAGUCAAGGGGGGUACAGCCCCCUUGAAAAAGAAUACAACCUUUAUAGGAGGACAAAGAUCAUAAAUUAAAAAAUAUACACCCAGUGGGCCCAAAAGCAGCCACCUAUAAAGAAAGCGUCAAAGCUCCGUAUAGAACAAAUUGCAAUCACGAUAAAUUCUCUUUAUCCCCAAAAAAUAUUAAGCUACUCCAUUUCACAUGGAAAAAAUAAUGCUAAAAUUAGUAACUAGAAGGCCAUGACCCUCUCCCAGCACUUGUGUAAGUCAGAACGGAACAACCACUGACAAUUAACAGCCCCAGAAGAGAGUAAAACAACAAACACCAUAACGCAAGAAAAUACUGUCAAAACCACAAACUGUUAACCCGACACAGGAGUGCAUCUAAGGAAAGACAAAAAGGAGAAGAAGGAACUCGGCAAACACAAACCCCGCCUGUUUACCAAAAACACCGCCUCUUGCAACAACAAAGUAUAAGAGGUCCCGCCUGCCCAGUGACCCGUUUCAACGGCCGCGGUAUUAUGACCGUGCUAAGGUAGCACAAUCACUUGUCUUUUAAAUAAAGACCUGUAUGAAUGGCACAACGAGGGAUUAACUGUCUCCUUCCCCCAGUCAAUGAAAUUGAUCUGCCCGUGCAGAAGCGAGCAUAAACACAUAAGACGAAAAGACCCUAUGGAGCUUUAGACAAAGUCAACAUGCCUAAAAAACCCCAAAUGACCCAACAGAACAAAAUGUUUAUUAAACCCAACAUGUCAUUGACUAAUGUCUUCGGUUGGGGCGACCAUGGGGGAAAAGAAAGCCCCCACACAGACAAGGAUAAACUCCUAAACCAAGAAAAACACUUCUAAGCAACAGAAAAUCUGACACAAGAUCCGGGUGCAAUGAACCCGAUCAAUGAACCAAGUUACCCUAGGGAUAACAGCGCUAUCCUUUCCCAGAGCCCAUAUCGACGAAAGGGUUUACGACCUCGAUGUUGGAUCAGGACAUCCUAAUGGUGCAGCCGCUAUUAAGGGUUCGUUUGUUCAACGAUUAAUAGUCCUACGUGAUCUGAGUUCAGACCGGAGUAAUCCAGGUCGGUUUCUAUCUAUGUCUACCCACCCCCAGUACGAAAGGGCCGGAGUGGGGGGGCCCCUACUAAAAGCAAGCCCUACCUUCACCUGUUGAAAUCAAAAGAAACAGAUAAUUAGACACCUACACAGCCAUAGAUAAUGGU
rnacentral:rRNA from 1 species